AGAUGAGUCUGCGUCUGAUUAGCUAGAUGGUGGGGUAACGGCUUACCAUGGCGACGAUCAGUAGUCGGCCUGAGAGGGUGACCGGCCACAUUGGGACUGAGACACGGCCCAAACUCCUACGGGAGGCAGCAGUGGGGAAUCUUCCGCAAUGGGCGAAAGCCUGACGGAGCAACGCCGCGUGAUCGAAUGAAGGCCUUCGGGUUGUAAAGAUCUGUUGACAGGGACGAAUAAGCAAUGCGAAUAGUUUUGUGUAUGACGGUACCUGUUUAGAAAGCUCCGGCUAACUACGUGCCAGCAGCCGCGGUAAUACGUAGGGAGCAAGCGUUGUCCGGAAUUACUGGGCGUAAAGGGCGCGUAGGUGGGCGCUUAAGUCAGGUGUGAAAACUCCGGGCUCAACCUGGAGACUGCACUUGAAACUGGGUGUCUUGAGGGCAGGAGAGGAAAGUGGAAUUCCUAGUGUAGCGGUGAAAUGCGUAGAUAUUAGGAGGAACACCAGUGGCGAAGGCGACUUUCUGGACUGUACCUGACGCUGAGGCGCGAAAGCGUGGGUAGCGAACGGGAUUAGAUACCCCGGUAGUCCACGCCGUAAACGAUGAAUACUAGGUGUAGGAGGUAUCGACUCCUUCU
rnacentral:rRNA from 1 species